rnacentral:rRNA from 1 species
AUUGAACGCUGGCGGCAGGCUUAACACAUGCAAGUCGAGCGGAGAGAGGUAGCUUGCUACUGAUCUUAGCGGCGGACGGGUGAGUAAUGCUUAGGAAUCUGCCUAUUAGUGGGGGACAACAUUUCGAAAGGAAUGCUAAUACCGCAUACGUCCUACGGGAGAAAGCAGGGGAUCUUCGGACCUUGCGCUAAUAGAUGAGCCGACGUCGGAUUAGCUAGUUGGGGGGGUAAAGGCCUACCAAGGCGACGAUCUGUAGCGGGUCUGAGAGGAUGAUCCGCCACACUGGGACUGAGACACGGCCCAGACUCCUACGGGAGGCAGCAGUGGGGAAUAUUGGACAAUGGGCGCAAGCCUGAUCCAGCCAUGCCGCGUGUGUGAAGAAGGCCUUAUGGUUGUAAAGCACUUUAAGCGAGGAGGAGGCUACUUUAGUUAAUACCUAGAGAUAGUGGACGUUACUCGCAGAAUAAGCACCGGCUAACUCUGUGCCAGCCGCCGCAGUAACAC